rnacentral:rRNA from 1 species
CAAGUCGAACGGUAACAGGAAGCAGCUUGCUGCUUUGCUGACGAGUGGCGGACGGGUGAGUAAUGUCUGGGAAACUGCCUGAUGGAGGGGGAUAACUACUGGAAACGGUAGCUAAUACCGCAUAACGUCGCAAGACCAAAGAGGGGGACCUUCGGGCCUCUUGCCAUCGGAUGUGCCCAGAUGGGAUUAGCUAGUAGGUGGGGUAACGGCUCACCUAGGCGACGAUCCCUAGCUGGUCUGAGAGGAUGACCAGCCACACUGGAACUGAGACACGGUCCAGACUCCUACGGGAGGCAGCAGUGGGGAAUAUUGCACAAUGGGCGCAAGCCUGAUGCAGCCAUGCCGCGUGUAUGAAGAAGGCCUUCGGGUUGUAAAGUACUUUCAGCGGGGAGGAAGGGAGUAAAGUUAAUACCUUUGCUCAUUGACGUUACCCGCAGAAGAAGCACCGGCUAACUCCGUGCCAGCAGCCGCGGUAAUACGGAGGGUGCAAGCGUUAAUCGGAAUUACUGGGCGUAAAGCGCACGCAGGCGGUUUGUUAAGUCAGAUGUGAAAUCCCCGGGCUCAACCUGGGAACUGCAUCUGAUACUGGCAAGCUUGAGUCUCGUAGAGGGGGGUAGAAUUCCAGGUGUAGCGGUGAAAUGCGUAGAGAUCUGGAGGAAUACCGGUGGCGAAGGCGGCCCCCUGGACGAAGACUGACGCUCAGGUGCGAAAGCGUGGGGAGCAAACAGGAUUAGAUACCCUGGUAGUCCACGCCGUAAACGAUGUCGACUUGGAGGUUGUGCCCUUGAGGCGUGGCUUCCGGAGCUAACGCGUUAAGUCGACCGCCUGGGGAGUACGGCCGCAAGGUUAAAACUCAAAUGAAUUGACGGGGGCCCGCACAAGCGGUGGAGCAUGUGGUUUAAUUCGAUGCAACGCGAAGAACCUUACCUGGUCUUGACAUCCACGGAAGUUUUCAGAGAUGAGAAUGUGCCUUCGGGAACCGUGAGACAGGUGCUGCAUGGCUGUCGUCAGCUCGUGUUGUGAAAUGUUGGGUUAAGUCCCGCAACGAGCGCAACCCUUAUCCUUUGUUGCCAGCGGUCCGGCCGGGAACUCAAAGGAGACUGCCAGUGAUAAACUGGAGGAAGGUGGGGAUGACGUCAAGUCAUCAUGGCCCUUACGACCAGGGCUACACACGUGCUACAAUGGCGCAUACAAAGAGAAGCGACCUCGCGAGAGCAAGCGGACCUCAUAAAGUGCGUCGUAGUCCGGAUUGGAGUCUGCAACUCGACUCCAUGAAGUCGGAAUCGCUAGUAAUCGUGGAUCAGAAUGCCACGGUGAAUACGUUCCCGGGCCUUGUACACACCGCCCGUCACACCAUGGGAGUGGGUUGCAAAAGAAGUAGGUAGCUUAACCUUCGGGAGGGCGCUUACCACUUUGUGAUUCAUGACUGGGGUGAAGUCGUAACAAGGUAACCGUAGGGGAACCUGCGGUUGGAUCACCUCCUUACCUUAAAGAAGC